CAAAAACGCAGUGGAACAUGGGAUUCAAUGAGGAGAGUGCGAGCAGUCUCAAUGAGAUGCCUAUUCUUUCUUUCUGCUACACCAUUUUGCUGAGGAGUGUAUGGACAAGAUGUUUGGUGAAUAAUUCCUUGGUGAGACAUAAACUCCUGAAACUGGGAUGAUAAGUAUUCUAAGGCAUUAUCACUACGAAAAGUACGAAUAGAAACACCAAACUGAUUUUGUAUUUCAGCAAAGAAACUUUUGAAUAUAGAAAAUAACUCAGAACGAUCUUUCAUUAAGAAAACCCAAGUACAUCUCGAAUAAUCAUCAAUGAAACUAACAAAAUAACGAAAUCCUAAGGUGGAACUGACUCUACUAGGACCCCAAAUAUCAGAAUGAACUAAUGAAAAAAUAGACUCUGAACGACCCUCAGUACUACGAGAAAACGUAGCACGAGUGUGUUUCCCAAGUUGACACGACUCACAAUCUAAUGUGGAUAAACUAGACAAACUAGGCACCAUCUUUUGCAGUUUGGAUAGACUUGGAUGUCCCAAACGUUUGUGAAUUAGAUCUGGGGAAUCUGUAACGGAGCAUGCUGUUAAGGAAUUUGAAGAGGUAAGAUAGUAAAGGCCUUGUGAUUCAUGUCCUGUGCCAAUCAUCUGUCCCAUACUGUGGUCCUGCAUGAGAAUAAAAUCAUCAAAAAAGGUUAUGCUACAAUGUAGGGCUUUCGUCAAACGACUAACAGAUGCUAGAUUAAAAGGAGAACCAGGGACAUAAAGAACAGAGUCUAGGGUGACAGAAGAUACGGGUUUGGCUUUUCCAAGUCUAGGGAAUCUGUAACGGAGCAUGCUGUUAAGGAAUAUGAAGAGGUAAGAUAGUAAAGGCCUUGUGAUUCAUGUCCUGUUCCAAUCAUCUGUCCCGUACUGCGGUCCUGCAUGAGAAAAAAAUCAUCAAAAAAGGUUAUGCUACAAUGUAGGGCUUUCGUCAAACGACUAACCGAUGCUAGAUUAAAAAGGAGAACCAGGGAC
rnacentral:lncRNA from 1 species